GAGAAAACCAGCUUUCAUUCCAGACAUGGAAAUUCCUACAUUCAAGAAUGAACAAAGUAAGCUGUACAUAAUGCCAGUUGAUACUUGACUGCGUCAUAGCUGUGAAAAAAAACAAGAAGAGCAAGAAAACUUGAGGGUACAUCCAAGGCUUUAAGGGCAGGAAGAAGCAUAGGCUCACUCUCGAGAGCUGCAUAUUGUUCGCUACAGGAACAAGAAUUGAACAUGAUGCAGCAAGGGAGAAUACACUGUUGACAAAUAAGGUGACAGUGACUUUUUAGUAUUUCCUGAUCUAUUUUUCAUUGAGCUAA